GAACCCGGGAAUCCUGAGGGCGCGGCUCGGCUCAGCUCCUCCGGGGCCUCCAGCACGACUUCUAAGGAGCCACGGAGACAUCUCGUCGCUGGUCUUUGCAGAGGGCGUCUAGACACGCUCCCAGUGUAGUGAAUCGAGGCUGCGGGGAGGGGGUUGGGCUGAAAGAGGAAAGACUGGGCAAACGGGCCCCGGGGCGGCAGCGAUGGUGGCCUCAGCCCUGGCUCCCACGGCCGGCGUGCCCCGGACUGGCCGUCCCCCCCUGACCAGCCACUGUGGGGAGCCGGCCUGCCCCCCCCCCCACCGAGGGCCGCCCUGAUCCAGCAGCUUUCACGCCAGCAAGGGCUGCUUCUGCUGAUUCCCAGGCAGGCUUUCAUGCAUUUCCCACCCAGAUUUCUAAUUCCACGCCUCGGGGCUCCACACACAAGUGAUUUUCCCUCUUUUCUACGAUGGCGGCUCGGAUAUUGGAAGAUGUCUCCGGGCCGCCCUGUGAGUCUCCUUCCGCGCCCCAGCGUGUCUGAGGGCAGGUGACAGCCGUGUGCGGCUCGCCCCUCGGACCUGGCCGGCCCCAACAUCCGGGCACCUUCUGGAGUGUCCUCGUGCCUCAGGAUCUAAGGGUACCCAGAAAGUUGUCACUGGAGGACACGUGAGUGUCCCCCAUGCAGGAUGUGGCCUCCAGGGAUGAAACACAAGUUUCCUGAGGGAAAGGGGCCCAGAGACCCGGUGGUCUACAGACGCGGAGGCUCGGGGGUGGACGGGCCCCCUGUGUCCCUCCCAGUGAACCCAGGGCCCCCUGCACUGUUUCUGAAGGCACGCGUCGCUUCUGCGAGGCUGGCAGCAGGAGGGCUCACCGUACCACGUGCGCACUUGCUGGGGCGUUUGGGAAGCCCACGUGUCACCGUCCGAAGAGCCACCGGGCGGUUUUCCAAAAGCGGCCGCAGGCUUGUGUGUUCCGAUCUCCCGCCAGCACGUGCUGGCCCCCGACUGCCGGUUCGAGCCCCGAGGAGCCAGAUUCGCCCGCCCUGA
rnacentral:lncRNA from 1 species